rnacentral:rRNA from 1 species
GCUUACGGCCAUACCAGCCUGGGUACGCCCGAUCUCGUCUGAUCUCGGAAGCUAAGCAGGGUCGGGCCUGGUUAGUACUUGGCUGGGAGACCGCCUGGGAAUACCAGGUGCUGUAAGCA